UUUUUAUUUUUUUUUAUUUUUUAUUUUUGAAAAGAAAGAAAAUUAAAACAGAACGAUAAAAAAAUAAAAUAAGAGAAAAUAAUAAAAAGUAAAAAUAAAAUAAAAUAAAAUCAAAUCAAAUCAAAUCAAAUCAACCCAAAUCAAAUAAAAUCAAAUCAAAUCAAAUCAAAUAAAAAAAAAAAGUCUAAUCGAUCAAGAAUCAUACACAUAGAAUAGUUCUACUAUGAGUCCCUGGCAGAGGCGCC
rnacentral:lncRNA from 1 species